UACGUAGGUGGCGAACGUUGUCCGGAUUUACUGGGCGUAAAGCGCGCGCAGGCGGACCGAUAAGUCAGAGGUGAAAUCUCCCGGCUCAACUGGGAGGGGCCCUUUGAUACUGUCGGUCUUGAGAUGCCUAGAGGAGAGUGGAAUUCCCGGUGUAGUGGUGGAAUGCGUAGAUAUCGGGAGGAACACCAGUGGCGAAGGCGGUUCUCUGGGACGGUACUGACGCUGAGACGCGAAAGCGUGGGGAGCGAACAGG
rnacentral:rRNA from 1 species